rnacentral:rRNA from 1 species
UACGUAGGGUGCAAGCGUUGUCCGGAAUUAUUGGGCGUAAAGAGCUUGUAGGCGGUUUGUCGCGUCUGCUGUGAAAUUUCGGGGCUCAACCCCGAACUUGCAGUGGGUACGGGCAGACUAGAGUGUGGUAGGGGAGACUGGAAUUCCUGGUGUAGCGGUGAAAUGCGUAGAUAUCGAGAGGAACACCUGCGGCGAAGGCGGGUUGCUGGGCCGACACGUGACGCUGAUGCGCGAAAGCCAGGGGAGCGAACGGG